rnacentral:rRNA from 1 species
AGGUCGAGCGGAACAGAUAAGGAGCUUGCUCCUUUGACGUUAGCGGCGGACGGGUGAGUAACACGUGGGUAACCUACCUAUAAGACUGGGAUAACUUCGGGAAACCGGAGCUAAUACCGGAUAAUAUUUCGAACCGCAUGGUUCGAUAGUGAAAGAUGGUUUUGCUAUCACUUAUAGAUGGACCCGCGCCGUAUUAGCUAGUUGGUAAGGUAACGGCUUACCAAGGCGACGAUACGUAGCCGACCUGAGAGGGUGAUCGGCCACACUGGAACUGAGACACGGUCCAGACUCCUACGGGAGGCAGCAGUAGGGAAUCUUCCGCAAUGGGCGAAAGCCUGACGGAGCAACGCCGCGUGAGUGAUGAAGGUCUUCGGAUCGUAAAACUCUGUUAUUAGGGAAGAACAUACGUGUAAGUAACUGUGCACGUCUUGACGGUACCUAAUCAGAAAGCCACGGCUAACUACGUGCCAGCAGCCGCGGUAAUACGUAGGUGGCAAGCGUUAUCCGGAAUUAUUGGGCGUAAAGCGCGCGUAGGCGGUUUUUUAAGUCUGAUGUGAAAGCCCACGGCUCAACCGUGGAGGGUCAUUGGAAACUGGAAAACUUGAGUGCAGAAGAGGAAAGUGGAAUUCCAUGUGUAGCGGUGAAAUGCGCAGAGAUAUGGAGGAACACCAGUGGCGAAGGCGACUUUCUGGUCUGUAACUGACGCUGAUGUGCGAAAGCGUGGGGGAUCAACAUGAUUAGAUACCCUGGGUAGUCCACGCCGUAACGAUGA